rnacentral:rRNA from 1 species
AAAAAGCUCGUAGUUGGAUUUCUGUUGAGGUCGACCGGUGCGCACUCCGUGUGUUAUUUGGUUCGGUCUCGGCAUCCUCGUGGGGAACGUUUCUGGACUUUAUUGGACAGGGCGAGAUUCACGACUUUUACUUUGAGGAAAUUAGAGUGUUCACGGCAGGCAAGUGCUUUGAAUACAUUAGCAUGGAAUAAUAAUAUAGGACCUUCGUUCUAUUUUGUUGGUUUCUAGAACUUAGGUAAUGAUUAAUAGGGACAAUUGGGGGCAUUCGUAUUAACGCGUCAGAGGUGGAAUUCUUGGAUUGCGUUACGACGAACUACUGCGGAAGCAUUUGCCAAAGAUGUUUUCAUUGAUCAAGAACGAAAGUAUGGGGAUCGAAGACGCUUAGAUACCGUCGUAGUCUAUACCAUAAACUAUGCCAACUAGGGAUUGGAGGGGUUAUCCUAUGUGGCUCCUUCAGCACCUUAUGAGAAAUCAAAGUUUUCGGGUUCCGGGGGGGAAGUUAUGGGUUCGCCAAAGGGCUUGAAAAACUUUAAAGGAAUUGACGGAAGGGCACCACCAGGAGUGGAGCCUGCGGCUUAAUUUGACUCAACACGGGAAAACUCUCCAGGUCCAGACAUAGUAAGGAUUGACAGAUUGAUAGCUCUU